UACGUAGGGGGCAAGCGUUGUCCGGAUUUAUUGGGCGUAAAGAGCGUGUAGGCGGCCAAGCAGGUCCGCUGUGAAAACUCGAGGCUCAACCUCGAGACGUCGGUGGAAACCGUUUGGCUAGAGUCCGGAAGAGGAGAGUGGAAUUCCCGGUGUAGCGGUGAAAUGCGCAGAUAUAGGAAGGAACACCAGUGGCGAAGGCGACCACCUGGACUGAUACUGACACUGAGGUGCGAAAGCGUGGGGAGCAAACAGG
rnacentral:rRNA from 1 species